GUAGGUGGCAAGCGUUGUCCGGAAUUAUUGGGCGUAAAGCGCGCGCAGGCGGUUCUUUAAGUCUGAUGUGAAAGCCCACGGGCUCAACCGUGGAGGGUCAUUGGAAACUGGAGAACUUGAGUACAGAAGAGGAAAGCGGAAUUCCACGUGUAGCGGUGAAAUGCGUAGAGACGUGGAGGAACACCAGUGGCGAAGGCGGCUUUCUGGUCUGUAACUGACGCUGAGGCGCGAAAGCGUGGGGAGCAAACAGGAUUAGAUACCCUGGUAGUCCACGCCGUAAACGAUGAGUGCUAAGUGUUAGGGGGUUCCCGCCCCUUAGUGCUGCAGCUAACGCAUUAAGCACUCCGCCUGGGGAGUACGGCCGCAAAGGCUG
rnacentral:rRNA from 1 species